CUGGAAAACAGCACUCUCUGAACCAGGGCAGAGUGUGGAUUUUCCCACUUUGCUGCAGAACCCCACUCUGCUGAAUUCCUGGAGGAAGCGAUGCAAAACCCAGCUGGAUGUGAGGGACCCAUCAGCACGAGCUCCUGAGCCAAAAUAGGAGCUGAAGCCCCAGAAAGUGGUGGGGUAGAGCUGUGAAUCCUAGCAACAGGCGGGGAAAGAACUGUACGUUUCUUCACGUCCUCCAAGUGUUGGUGCCUUCUGGUACAUCAUUGACAGGAAGAGACAGAGACCAUGGAAAGGCCCUCCUUGCUGAUGCAUCAAGAAAGGGCACAUUUUUCCAGUGGGACGGUCUGUUGCACAGGAGCUGCCGGCCAUGCUGUUCCAGUUCAGGGGCUCCUGCAACAGAAAAGAUCAGCUGUUGGAGAACCCAUGGAAAGCCCUGGGGGAGAGCCAUGGCCGCAAGAGGACCAGGCGAUUCCAGGCACAGCCCUAGCAGAUGGUUUUGGUGGUGGAAAGCACGAGGGGAUGGCUCCCAGGAGCUGCUCAGGCAGUCAAGUCAAAAAGGAAUGGAUGCAUGCAGCGUGCCACGGCCCCAGCCUGGACAGCUCCCAGUGCUCCCCUCUGUACAGGCAGCCUGUGCUGGCCCUGUUUAUACACCCAGCUUUCUCUGUGCCUCAUCCAAAAUCUGCUGGGAUUGGGGAGCAGCCCUUUCCUGAACUCCAGAGCAAACAGCGUGGGAAACCAGUGCAGCCACCCCUUUGUGAUCCUGCCCACUGCAGCAUCACCCCGAUGUCCCAGCACACGCUGGGCCAUGCAAACCUGAUCAUGCCAGAGACCAGGAGAUUAUUUCUUUUGAAUGGUUAAAUAUUCUAAUGUAAAACCUUCACCUUACACCCAUGGCAAAUAUUGCCAAAGUUGUGGAGUCAGGAAAGCAAGUCCAUAUUUUGUCAAUAUUAGCCUGAUAAAUAAAUUUGAGAAUUAAAUGCAUUCUGUGCUUAGCAAAUGAAAAUUAAUUUCUGAUACGUGAAAAUUGGCUUUCUUAACAACAUUUCCCUUGUUUUAGUGAGAUAAUCUAGAUCUAUAUUAGGAAAAACAAACAUUUUUUCAGAAGAAUUAUACAUAAUUUAUAGAGAGGCAGGUCUGAAUUAGCUCUAGCAUUGCCCAGAGCUUUCCUACAGUCCAUAGGUCUGGAUCUCAGCUGUGCUCAUAGAUCUGCUCCCUCCCUCUGAUGAAACCCUCUCCCAGAAACAGUUAAACACAAGAAGCCAGAAAUGAUCCAUAAAUUAGGUCUGGCUAUAGGUUCAAAAUCAUAAGUUAUGGCCUAUUGACCUCAUACUCUGAGGGGAAAUCAGAAGCAUUUUUCUAAAGAGCCACCACUGGAGGAAGGGAGGUUUAAUAUAUGGCACAGCAGAGCCCAGCUGCAAAUAAAUACAGCACUGCAUAAUUGCAGGGAAAAUCAAUAAAUACCAUGGUGGUUAAAAUAAAGAUAUGCAUAUUGAGGGUCCGGGCUUGUGUGUGUGAAAGGUUGUUUCCCCAGAAGCAGAAGAUGAUUUUUUUUUUUUCCCUGCAUUAAAGCCUCUGAAAACAACAAAGGCAACAGCUCCUGUGCUGCCCCUUUUGCAAGGAGCAAGUUUCAGCUAUUGUUUCCCUCGGAGCAGCUCUGUGGAGUCGUCAUUAUUAGCAUAAUUAAUAAGUGCAGUUUGCUCAUUUGAAAAAUUCCGGCGACAUUUGCCGCUCAGGCAUCGCGUCAGCGCGAGACACAAAAAAUCGCUGUGACAACUGUUCUGCAAGUUCAGCUUUUAUUGACGAGCACCACAAAGAGACGGAGCCCAGAGCUAGUCCCUUUUCACUUUAAUAUUUAAACCUCUUUUAAGAGGACGUCAAUAUUAACUCCCGUAAUUGAUGCUGACAGGUGACUGCCUGGCCAUAAAAAAGGCAAGCGAUAAAAUUCAAAAAAACCCUUAAAAAUAACAACCAGGACUUGCAGGUCAGUGCAGUGAAGGACACUGGGAUCAAGGGAUGAGGUUUCCUGCAUCCCUGGUGCAUCAAAGGGGACCUGGUGAUUCACCCAGGAGUGGAUGGGACCCUUUGGGCUCUGCUGAUUUUGUUCCCCCAGGUAAAUCCCUGGAUCUCCUGGAUGAGAAACUCAUCCUUGCUCAGCCUCCAGACCAGCCAGUGCUUUUAAUGAAUAAAUACCAAUUGUAACUAGUUAACCUCAGGAUUUCCAGCAUUAAAGAGAUUUCCCACAGGAGCCAGAGAGCACUAAAGGAAUGGAUAAAUGCAAAGUUCAUGGGGAAGGGACACAGCCUUUUGCAAAUUCCAGUAUGAGGGGAAAAUACCCAGGAAGUGUUAUGAGACAGGCUCCAAAAAUAGUUAUUUACUGAACAUAGCUUUCUGAUUUUCAUUGAUCUUAUUCUCAGAAAUGAGUGCAAUUUUUUUUCUGUUUAAAAUUUGGGUUAAAAGUAGUUAGAAAUUAGAACAACAUGGAACCAAGUUUUAAUGUAAAGUGCUUGAUGACCUGAGUAUUAUUAUUGUCUUUGCUCCAUGUACAAUCCAACCAGAAGGAAUGACACAGUAGAUAAUCUCUUCAUUUAUUUAAAUGGAGAUAUAAUUUUGCUGGCUUUGAGUUCUACUGAUAUGCAGAUCAUAGCAUGGGUCCAAAACUAGAGUGAAAAUGUUUUUAUUAAAGCUGAUAUAAAUAUUUUGAAUUUUGACUUUUUCUUAACUUUUUGAAAUUGAAGGCAGGGAAAGCACUAAAAUAUCCUGUAUGCAUUAAAAUUGUUCACAACAAGGAAAAUAUUUUAUUAAUAGAAAAUUGAUAUAUCUAAAAGAAGAGGCUUAAUAAAAAAAAUAUUGGUGAUAAUAUUGGCUGCAUAGACAGAGACUUUUCUGAAUAAACCCAAGGCACUCCAGUUAAGAUUUUUUAGGUACUUCCACUCUCACAUUCAUUCUUAAGCUAAAACCAGCAAAAUUCCUUCCCAGCACCCCUCUCCCAGCAAACAGCUCCUGCCCCACAGAUAUUUAACCAGGAUUCCCAGCCAGCCCUUUUCUUUAGAUCCUUCAUGUUUUUUCUCUGUGCUUUGGGGUUCUCCAGGCAGUGUUUCCUGCUUGCAGAGGAAGAUGCACAGCAGAAGAUUUGGGAUUAAAGAGACAAUAAAAUGUCCCAACCAUUGCUGUGUGGCAGAGAACAGGGCAGGGAUUUAGUAGUAACAACAGAAAACAGGAGAGCUUUGCAGCAAUUAAAGCUGAGCAAAACCCACCAAAUGCUGGAGAAAAUAUAGUGGGGGGAAAUCAUUGUGGUGCUACGAGUCUAAAACCAAAAAUCAAUGUUCUUAUUGUUCCCUGCUAGAGUCUCACAAGGAGGGAAGAGCUGUGCCCAAGACCCUGGAUGGCUGCAAAAUAAAGGAUUAGCAGUUAGAUCCUUAUCAAAAAUGGGACUGGGAAGCUUUUGUUUAAAAGGCCCACUUGAACCAAAGCUCUCCUGGCUGAUUGCUGCUGUUAGGAUUUGAAAUUGCUAUUACUGCAUAUAUAGUAUUUAAAAGAGAGAUGACCACUGACAGGAGCUAGCUGGCAGCAAACAAGUGUGCUUUAACUAAUCAUAUUAAUUUCUACAACAAGUGAUUCCAAGUUAAAGCUGUAUUUGUGUGCAGAUGUAUGUGUGUGUGCACACGUGUGCUAACAGGUUUCAUGUCAAGGAUAGAGGCUGCUGGUAAAAAUUUGGUGAAAAUGCCUCAGCUUCCUCUUAGAGGUUUUUUUUUUCCAU